UUUGUUAUUCCACACUACGAGCUAGAGAGAAGAUUGUGAAUUAUUGUCAAUUAUUACACUUUCGAGUCGCUUGUAUGGCAUGGCCUGAGACAACCAAUCUUCAACCUUGAGACUUGAAACGUAUGAUGCCAUUUGGUGCCCCAAUUGAAAGAGAGACUUGGGUCCUAUGCUAACUUACGCUACAUCAACGGCUCGUGUCUAUAGUCUCGUGUCUUCUCCAGUUUUGGUCAAGAGUUUUCAUCAUUAGGUUAAUUACCGCUGCUCAAAUUUUAUCGCUAUGUCACCAUGCCGCGCCUGUUGGUGUUUUUCUGGUGGCCCGUGAACCUGGAAAUAAAGACAAUUCAUUCUUUUAUCAUAUCAAUGAUGGCUACCAUUACCACGAAUCUUUCAGAAGAGGCACCUCGUUACGGUGGCCGUGCCGUUUUGAUUCCAUAGAUGGGUUCGAACAUUCGAUGCCUCAUCGGGUUGAUCAUGUGUGUUAUCCCGACGAGUUCUACCCUGCCGAAUGUGAGCUAUGGAGAAACAUACUUCGCCGGUGUCGUCAGCUUGAUUACGCCCCCUUCGACCGCAUUAUCGAAGAAGAAUCUAAUGGAUACCACAUUGAGGUUAGGACUCGGUUUACCGACGCGAGAAUGAGGGAGGACUAGCAUGCGGGCCGAAAGGACUGCUAAUUACCCAGUAACCCCUGACACAUUGCGCUCACUUACUAGGAUCCUCUUAAACCAAGCGUACCGACUUAUCACAAUGACUAGAGACGGGUAAGACAACCUAUAUGCUGGGUCAGUAACUGACACACUCAAUGCACAUCAUGUCGUUUUCGCCUCACUUAGAAUGAUUGCAGAAAUGAUGCAAUUCGCUAUAUUUCAAUGUGAUGGCACAUUCAAAGUCUGGCUUACAGACGGAACAGGAUUUUUUGCAUAGUGGGAAUUCGGCGUAACCGAAUUAUACCCCUGAUGUGGGUGUUGAUGAAAACCAGGACGAGAGAAGCAUGGUAGCUGUACUAAGUCACUAAUGUAAUCAGCUUGGACCAAAUAGAAUGCUGAGACGAUUUAUAAUGGACUUUGAGGCCUCUGAAAUGGCUGGAGUUGAGAGUUUUCAACUGUCAAAUUCAAGAGUG